GCCAGCGUGGUUUAGUGGUUUAGUGAGUGUUGGACUCCAACUUUAAAGACCAGGGUUUGAUUCCCAGCUUGGCU